CUUGCUCUUCUUGGAUGAGUUGCGAACGGGUGAGUAACGCGUAGGUAACCUGCCUUGUAGCGGGGGAUAACUAUUGGAAACGAUAGCUAAUACCGCAUAACAAUGGAUGACACAUGUCAUUUAUUUGAAAGGGGCAAUUGCUCCACUACAAGAUGGACCUGCGUUGUAUUAGCUAGUAGGUGAGGUAACGGCUCACCUAGGCGACGAUACAUAGCCGACCUGAGAGGGUGAUCGGCCACACUGGGACUGAGACACGGCCCAGACUCCUACGGGAGGCAGCAGUAGGGAAUCUUCGGCAAUGGGGGCAACCCUGACCGAGCAACGCCGCGUGAGUGAAGAAGGUUUUCGGAUCGUAAAACUCUGUUGUAAGUCAAGAACGAGUGUGAGAGUGGAAAGUUCACACUGUGACGGUAGCUUACCAGAAAGGGACGGCUAACUACGUGCCAGCAGCCGCGGUAAUACGUAGGUCCCGAGCGUUGUCCGGAUUUAUUGGGCGUAAAGCGAGCGCAGGCGGUUUGAUAAGUCUGAAGUUAAAGGCUGUGGCUCAACCAUAGUUCGCUUUGGAAACUGUCAAACUUGAGUGCAGAAGGGGAGAGUGGAAUUCCAUGUGUAGCGGUGAAAUGCGUAGAUAUAUGGAGGAACACCGGUGGCGAAAGCGGCUCUCUGGUCUGUAACUGACGCUGAGGCUCGAAAGCGUGGGGAGCGAACAUGAUUACAUAC
rnacentral:rRNA from 1 species